rnacentral:lncRNA from 1 species
GCCGAAAGUGUGUGAGUUUCGUCUCUGGACGAGACCUUCGGCCGCCGAAGGUGCCGCCGAACAUGCAUGAGUUUCGUCUCUGGAGAGGGGUUUCGGCCGCCGAAUCUGCCGCCGAAAGUGCCCUGUCCAGCUUUCUUUUGCAUGUUUUAUGUGAUGGUUUGAGGAUUGUUUAGAGGGGUUUUGGGGAGUUUCGUAGAGAUGUUCUUGAGUGCGUUUAGUCCCUCAUUUGAGUCCACC